AUUGAACGCUGGCGGCAUGCUUUACACAUGCAAGUCGAACGGCAGCACGGGCUUCGGCCUGGUGGCGAGUGGCGAACGGGUGAGUAAUAUAUCGGAACGUACCCAGAAGUGGGGGAUAACGUAGCGAAAGUUACGCUAAUACCGCAUACGAUCUAUUGAUGAAAGCAGGGGGCCGCAAGGCCUUGUGCUCCUGGAGCGGCCGAUAUCUGAUUAGCUAGUUGGUGAGGUAAAGGCUCACCAAGGCGACGAUCAGUAGCUGGUCUGAGAGGACGACCAGCCACACUGGAACUGAGACACGGUCCAGACUCCUACGGGAGGCAGCAGUGGGGAAUUUUGGACAAUGGGCGCAAGCCUGAUCCAGCAAUGCCGCGUGAGUGAAGAAGGCCUUCGGGUUGUAAAGCUCUUUUGUCAGGGAAGAAACGGUAGAGGCUAAUAUCCUUUGCUAAUGACGGUACCUGAAGAAUAAGCACCGGCUAACUACGUG
rnacentral:rRNA from 1 species